rnacentral:rRNA from 1 species
GACGAACGCUGGCGGCGUGCUUAACACAUGCAAGUCGAACGGAAAGGCCCUGCUUUUGUCUGGUGCUCGAGUGGCGAACGGGUGAGUAACACGUGAGUAACCUGCCCUUGACUUUGGGAUAACUUCAGGAAACUGGGGCUAAUACCGGAUAGGAGCUCCUGCUGCAUGGUGGGGGUUGGAAAGUUUAGGCGGUUGGGGAUGGACUCGCGGCUUAUCAGCUUGUUGGUGGGGUAGUGGCUUACCAAGGCUUAGACGGGUAGCCGGCCUGAGAGGGUGGCCGGCCACAAUGGGACUGAGAUACGGACCAGACUCCAACGGGAGGCAGUAGGGGGGAAUAUUGUACAAUGGGCGGAAGCCUGAUACGACAACGCCGCGUGCGGGAUGACGGCCUUGGGGUGGUAAACCGCUUUCGCCUGUGACGAAGCGUGAGUGACGGUAAUGGGUAAAGAAGCACCGGCUAACUACGUG